AGUGAACGCUGGCGGUAGGCCUAACACAUGCAAGUCGAACGGCAGCACAGUAAGAGCUUGCUCUUACGGGUGGCGAGUGGCGGACGGGUGAGGAAUACAUCGGAAUCUACUUUUUCGUGGGGGAUAACGUAGGGAAACUUACGCUAAUACCGCAUACGACCUACGGGUGAAAGCAGGGGAUCUUCGGACCUUGCGCGAUUGAAUGAGCCGAUGUCGGAUUAGCUAGUUGGCGGGGUAAAGGCCCACCAAGGCGACGAUCCGUAGCUGGUCUGAGAGGAUGAUCAGCCACACUGGAACUGAGACACGGUCCAGACUCCUACGGGAGGCGGCAGUGGGGAAUAUUGGACAAUGGGCGCAAGCCUGAUCCAGCCAUACCGCGUGGGUGAAGAAGGCCUUCGGGUUGUAAAGCCCUUUUGUUGGGAAAGAAAAGCAGCAGGUUAAUACCCCGCUGUUCUGACGGUACCCAAAGAGUAAGCACCGGCUAACUUCGUG
rnacentral:rRNA from 1 species